ensembl:lncRNA
GUCACUUUGAGGCCAGUCGGGUCACACACACUGAGACUCUGUCUCUAAAUAAAUAAACACCCAAACUCAAAACCCUCUGAGAACUAUCAAAUUAUCUUCAUUUUAUGAGAGAGAAAGUUGGGUUAGAGAUGGGACUUGAUGUGACCUCCCCAAGUUGAGCCCGUGUACAAAGUGGCAGUGUCUGGAUGUAACUCUAAAACCGCUUUCACCCUGUUCUCCACAGCUCAUCUUCUUCUGCCUUCUCUUCAUUCACCAGAACACUUUAAGUGGCAGACGUUCUCUUCAGGAGCAGAGGAGACACAGCCAGACUCUAGAAGAUGGUUCUUGUUUGCUGGGGAGGCAGACGACUCAAUGGACCUUGACAUUCAGCCUGACAAGCUCUUUACUGGGCAUGCACAGAUGGUUCAGCCGCUCCAUCUGAUGUAGAGAGAUCCUUGAGACACUGCUCCUACCCCAAAGUCCAGCAGAUUGGCAGCUCUUACUUCCGGAAAUGCAGGAGCAUCAACCUCGAUGUUGGUAGAGCUUACCUCUGUAUGCUGAGGGCAAAGGAUUUUUCUUUUGCCAUCCCAUUUCUCUAGCCACUCCAGGUCCACUUCUGUAGUACAACAUCUGGGGAUUGUCUUCAUGCCCACAGCUGCCAUCCACCAAGCAGGCUUCCCAAGGAGUUUCCUCAGCUUCUGCCAAGGCACAGUCAGCCAGCCCUGGGUGUUCCCCUGGACUCCUGUCGGAACCUUUUGUUGCUGUGUGUAGCGCUUGCACUCAUGGCAGACCCUGAGGGUGAAGGCCGUGUUUCAUGCCGUCAGCAGCACUGGCACAUUCCAUGUCACGUCCAUUACAGAGUGGAAUGACAGCAGCUGCCAUUUGCCGGGUCUGGCACAGCACCAAAUGCUUUAUGUCUAUGAUCUCACUUAAUCUCUACAUGAGGCAGAGGCCACCGAUGAGGAAAGAGAGCCCGAGAGAAGAGAAAUGAUGGGGCCAUGCUCCCAUAAAUGCUGGAGGUAGGAUUUGAACUCAUAAUCAACGAUUUAAUCACUAUAGAGUGCUGCCUCCCAAAGGUGCCAUCAGAGGUCCUUCCAGGACGCAACUUGUCCUCAGCUGUUACUUUUCAGAGGGACAAAUCAAGGUCCAGAGAGAGGUGACUGGUCCACUGUUACGUGGCAAACCUAUUCCAGAAAAAUUCUAGGAUUACUCUCCACAGCCUCCUCACACCAUUCCAGAAAACAGAAAGUGUCCCAGGUGGUAGAUGAACAAGAAGGCUCAUCCUGAGCAAUUCUUUGGAAGUCUGACAAUGUAAAGGAUGGACAAGCAUCUUCCAGAGUUCCUCAGGUCCUCAGGGUUAGGACAGAGUCCCAGCAUUCCUCCAGACAGCUGGAGGUGUCACUUUAUUGGACUUAGCACCAACUACUGGGCUAGGGUGACCUCUAUGCCUAGAAUGUUCUCUCCUUCAGUUGUCUUGCUUGGCUAAUGCCACUUCCUCUGGGAAGGCCUCUGUGAGCAUGCAGGUUCCCCCACCAUUGAUUCUCAUGGCUCGGGCUCUUUCUUGUCUGUAACACGGGUCCAGCCUGGCUGUGGACUCAGAUCAGAGGCCCACAUAGUAGGAGUGUUAGACCUUAUCUUCACCUUGCUGACCUCCAAGGAUGACAUUCCAGAAUUUCAUAUUAGCCUUAUAAAACCAACCAAUCUUUGCAUGUUUGUUAAAAUGAUGGAUACUUUGUAGAGAAGCUGAUUGGAGGUCAGGAAUGGUGAUGGAUGCCUGUCACACCAGCACUUGAAAGGCUGAGCCAGGACGAUCACAAAAUCCAGGCCAGCCUAUGAUGCAGAGUGAGUUCAAGGCCAGCCUGAGCUACACAUCUAGAUUCUGUCUUAAACAAAUAAUCCCAGUGGUGGUGGUGGUGGCGGUAAGACACGCCUGUAAUCCCAGCACUUGGAAGGCAAAGGCACUGGUCUACAAAGUCCAGGACAGCCUGGGUUAUCUAAAACAAAACAAAACAACAACAACAACAACAAUAACAACAACAACAACAACAAAAAACAAUGAAAGUGCUAUGUAGCUCUCUCCUUCAGAUCUAAACUUUCCCUCCUAGAGUUGAGGAAGGAGACUCAAGAUUUAGGAAGUAAAGGAAAUUUAACGUGGUUUGGGAAGCUCCUGAGGCCUACAGGACUCACAAAGUCCCUCCUCAAGAUUAUAAAAGCAGGGCUGGGCUUGUAGUUCCAUUGAUGGAGUGCUUGCUAAGCAUAUGUGAUGCCUGGGUUCCAGUCCCAGAACCACAGAAACCAAGCAUACUUAAGCACUCCUGUAAUCUCAGCACUUGGGAGGUAGAGGCAGGAGAAUCAGAAACUUCAAGGUCAUGUUCAACUACAUAGCUAGCUAGGCUUCAGGCUUGCUUGGGAUACACAAGACCCUGUCUAAAAAAGAAAAAACAAACCCAAACAAAAAAACAGCAGUGAGUGAUUGCUGGGUGGAAAUGACUCUCUGAUUGGCACAGCUGGCUGCAAGUUUGUGCAGGAAGCAGGGAGGUCCAGGGCUUUGGCCUUCUGUGAGCUGUCACCCAUGGAGGACUGGGCUUUGCAUUUAUGCUGCUGAAAGUAACCCCAAUAGACUCACUGGUUCACUAGACUGGGUUUGGAUGGGAUGAUUCUUUGGUCCAGUGGUUCUCAAACUGUGGGUCACAACUCCUUUGGGGGUUGCAUAUCAGAUAUCCCAAAUAUCAGACAUGUACAUUAUGAUUCAUAACAGUAGCAAAAAUACACUUAUGAAGUAGCAACAAAAUAAUUUUAUGGUUGGGGGGUCAUAGCAUGAGGAACUGUACUGAAGGACCCCAAGUAUUGGGAAGGUUGAGAGCAAGUGCUUUGGUUUGGCAUUGGUGCUCUAUCUGGGCUGAAUAGACUUCUCUGUUUAUGUCUCCUCAGCAGGAUGAAUAAACACCCACAAAUACAACCUGUGAAGAAACAAAACAAGUGAAACCCGAUUAAGACAGACUAGAGUCAGUCCUGUAGACUCCAGCAUUGGGCCUGAAUUCUCUCCCCAGCCUCAGUUAAUCCCUAGAGAGCACCCCUCCCUUUAAUGAUUUAUUUUUAUUUUAUAUGCGUUGGUGUUUUGCCAGCAUGUAUGUCUGUGAGAGGGUGUCGGAUUUCCUGGAACUGAAGUUACCGACAAGUCGUGGACUGCCAUGUGGGUGCUGGGAACUGAACCUAGGUCCUCUGGAAGAUUGGCCAGUACUCUUACCCUCUGGAGUGGCUUCCUUUUUUGAAGACAGAUUUCAGUGUCCAGAUAGUAUGGGACAACCUUUCUUUGACAUUUUUCAUCCCCAUCAUUGCUUCUUAGAUUUGAGCAUGUCAAGAACAAAAACAGAGCCAAGCAGUGGUGGCACAUGCCUUUAAUCCAGCAUUCGGGAGGUAGAGGCAGGUGGAUCUCUGUGAGUUUGAGGCCAGCCUGGUCUACAUAGUGAGUUCCAGGACAGCCAGAGCUGUUACACAGAGAAAUCAUGUCUUGGAAAACCAAAACAACAAGACAAAAACAGUGCAGUGUAUAACAGUAUCUUUCCUUCCUGUUGGAGGUGUGUGUGGUGUGGAGUGGCUACUGGGGAUCAUACCUAGGGACUUGUGAAUGCCAAGUAAGUGCUGAACCACUGAGCUACACCACCAGCAAACCCCACUUAAGGUCUUUCUAUCAUCUUUAAUGACAACGGUCUUUUCACCUCACUGACCAGAAUCUCACAGGUGAAAGUCUAACUUUCUGCACACUGUCCCUACCCACAACCCAUGGUCCACCUCCAUGAGAUUCUGUCCCUACCCCCACUGAAAGGACACUAGCCCAUUCAAGCACGUGUCUCUGGCGGGCCUUGCCUGUCUUCCCCCAAUUCCCUCGGCCUUGCUAAAAACCGUUAGAUUACAUUCCUAAAACUACCUACCAAGAUCCAUUCCCUUAUUUGGAUACUUCCUUCUCCUGAGGUUGACUACCAAGGUCCAGUUAUCAAAGUGUUGAAGUCCAGAAAUCAGAAACCCCUCUUUGGCUCACCUAAUUACCAUGUCCAAUUAAAAUUAAACACCUCAUCCUAACAUGGGGUUUUCCCCUCUUACCUUUAUAAACUGCCGUUUUCGUGCCCCACCUGUCCCUGUCUAUCAGAGGCAGUCCUUUGCCCCUCAGUUCUGAAGGGUGAAAUGGAUCUUGGGCAGCAGUGUUUAGAAUCAAGGUGUGGCAGGGCUCACACCCCCUGGAGUCUCCAGGGAAGAGUCCUUUUCUUAGGCUUUUCCAGCAUGCAGACAUGUGCUCUUUGGCUCGUGGUCCUCUUGUCCAUCUUCAAAGCCAGCAACAGCAUCCUCUGACCUUAUAUCAAAGGGCUAGAUGGUUACUUCAGGCUUGCUCAGAUAAUGAUUCAAGAUGGUCACUUCAUUUUAACAUUCUUCAUUUUGUCUGAAAAAACAAAAAACAAAAAAACAAAAAACAAAAAACAAAAUCCCUUUGCAGUCUUAAGGCAGCCUUUGCAGGCACUGGGGAUUAUGACCUGGAACCUUGAUAUGCUGUUAUUUGGCCUAUUUGUUGCUCAUUUUUGCUUGC